rnacentral:rRNA from 1 species
UACUAGAGUAGCACUCGCAUAUCAAUAAGCGGAGGAAAAGAAACUAACAAGGAUUCCCCUAGUAACGGCGAGUGAAGCGGGAAGAGCUCAAAUUUGAAAUCUUAAAGGGUUUCCCUUUACGAAUUGUAGUUUAAAGAAGUGUUUUCUGUUGAGGUUUUGGUAAAAGUUCUUUGGAAUAGGACAUCAUAGAGGGUGAGAAUCCCGUAUUUGACCUUUACUUUCAACUUUGUGAUACACUUUCAAAGAGUCCGGAUUGUUUGGGAAUGCAGUCCAAAAUGGGUGGUAAAUUUCAUCUAAAGCUAAAUAUUGGCGAGAGACCGAUAGCGGACAAGUACCGUGAGGGAAAGAUGAAAAGAACUUUGAAAAGAGAGUUAAACAGUACGUGAAAUUGUCAAAAGGGAAGCGUUUGACACCAGUGUUGUUUUUCUGAAAAUCAAUUAAAGAACUGUUUAUGCUAAGUUGUUUAGACUUUAUCAGCUAUCUGCUUAGUUUUGAGCCUUUCUUUAAUGCACUUUUCAGUUAACAAGUCAACAUCAAUUUCUUUUGCUGUAAAAAAGCUUGAGGAAGGUGGCUUGAGAUUCGUCUUAAGUGUUUAUAGCCUCUUGCCUAUGCAGUCGGAGAGAUUGAGGUCUGCAGCGUAGAUCCUUCGGGGCUAAAUGCAUUUGUGCUAAGUUAUAGCAUUUUAUAGACAACUUGUUGACUAUGAUUUGUCUUGUAGCUUACUCGCUUAUGUUAUUUUACCUACGCUUAGGAUGUUGAGUAGCGACAUACGCAC